UACGUAGGGUGCAAGCGUUGUCCGGAAUUAUUGGGCGUAAAGAGCUCGUAGGCGGUUUGUCGCGUCGGCUGUGAAAGCCCGGAGCUCAACUCCGGGUCUGCAGUCGAUACGGGCAGACUUGAGUGUUGCAGGGGAGACUGGAAUUCCUGGUGUAGCGGUGAAAUGCGCAGAUAUCAGGAGGAACACCGAUGGCGAAGGCAGAUCUCUGGGCCGUAACUGACGCUGAGGAGCGAAAGCGUGGGGAGCAAACAGG
rnacentral:rRNA from 1 species